rnacentral:rRNA from 1 species
UACGGGGGGGGCAAGCGUUGUUCGGAAUGACUGGGCGUAAAGGGCGCGUAGGCGGUUUGUACAGUCAGAUGUGAAAUUCCUGGGCUUAACCUGGGGGCUGCAUUUGAUACGUGCAGACUUGAGUGAGGAAGAGGGUUGUGGAAUUCCCAGUGUAGAGGUGAAAUUCGUAGAUAUUGGGAAGAACACCGGUGGCGAAGGCGGCAACCUGGUCCUUGACUGACGCUGAGGCGCGAAAGCGUGGGGAGCAAACAGG